AUGUGCUCUCGUAGAAGUCGGGCUGCUUGGGAGUGCAGCCUGAAGCGGGUGGUAAAUUCCAUCUAAAGCUAAAUACUGGCGGGAGACCGAUAGCGAACAAGUACCGUGAGGGAAAGAUGCAAAGAACUUUGAAAAGAGAGUUAAAGAGUGCUUGAAAUUGGCAGGAGGAAACCCGGUUGCGCGUGGCAUUUGGCGUGGUCGACUCAGCCGCGCGCGGAGACCUGUAGGGGACCUAACGGCCUCGUGGUCAGCGCGCGCGGUGCACUUCGGCCGCGUCGGUCAGCCGCGUUUCUGUGCGGCCCAGACGGCCGCGGGCAGGGCUUCGGCGCAGCCUGCGGUUUGGGGGUCGCGCGGGAUCUCGGCUGAUGCGCACGGGCGCAACCGACCCGUCUAGAAACACGGACCAAGGAGUCUGACGCGUGUGCGAGUACUAGAGUGGCAAGCUCGAGUGCGCAAUGAAAGUGAAGGGCGUGCCCCGUCAACCGAUCUUGAUCUUCUGUGAAGGGUUUGAGUGGAGCACAUCUGUCGGGACCCGAAAGAUGGUGAACUAUGCCUGAGGAGGGUGAAGCCAGAGGAAACUCUGGUGGAGGCUCGUAGCGAUACUGACGUGCAAAUCGUUCGUCGAACUUGGGUAUAGGGGCGAAAGACUAAUCGAACCAUCUAGUAGCUGGUUCCCUCCGAAGUUUCCCUCAGGAUAGCUUGAACGCCGACGGUUUUGU
rnacentral:rRNA from 1 species